CCGACCAUUUCUAAAACUUACUUUUCCUUAUAUUGCGAAAGAAGAAGACAUGAGUUCGUCCCUUCGGGGACAUCCGAUAAAAUUGGAACGAUACAGAGAAGAUUAGCAUGGCCCCUGCGCAAGGAUGACACGCACAAAUCGAGAAAUGGUCCAAAUUUUUUUCCCACAUUUUUGGAUUUGUUGUUCUUUCUGCAACUUAGGUCCUUCUACGUUUCAGAUUUGUUCUUAACUGGGUUUUUUAUUGGAACACACAAUCUGAGCCUCUGAGGUACCAUAGAGCAGCUGUUGAGAUAAAGAGGCCUCUCAAGUUGCCCCUGACAGAUGGCAUUCAACGUGUGUUUUGGCAUGUAAUACAGGGCUGUAAAAGUUCUUGAUGUUCUGGCUCCUAUUGGGCUGCAGGUUGCUCUCAUCAAUGUCAAUCUGAAGCAUGGGCUUUUGAUGCUGGGGUCCCUGAAGUAAUCGAAGUCUUGGGUACGAUGGUGGUCGAUUUAUAAGGAGUGCGGAGAGUCUAGUCGAUGAUAAGUAAAUAAGGCACCGCAUGCGGAAAGCUGAGUUGUGCUUCGGCCAUCUUCCACAUUCAAACUGUUGACCUUUAAUGAGGCUUAAUAUCAACUUGGUCAGUGAGGACCUAGGAGCUGUAGUUCGCUCUAGUACUAGAAUGCCAGCACUACAGUGUGUGAAGGUUCCAAAUUUGAGCUGAAAGUCUGAGUUUAUACAGAAAUUAUCAGUUUUAGUACUCGAUUAAAUUCUCUGUUGCCCAAUGCCAGAACAAGGACCUGAGUGGUUCCUUCUUUGGUGACUAGAGCUACUUGUACAGCAUGGCCACCAGAAGUUGUCGAUGCUCCACUUAUUUAUAUAUCCAUUGGAGAAAGCAGUAUUCUUUUUAAGGUACAUGAACAAGAUGAAAACAUGGCAACUUCCUUCACUGGACUAUUCAUGUUCAUCACUUUGGUCAAGUAUGUUCUGAUCAUAUUACCAGAUGAUGUGUAUUCAUUGUUUUCAUUCUCUUGUAGUCAUCAGCUUCCUCUUAGUAUAUCUUCUUGGCAAAUGGUUGUUGCACUUCCUUCACGUCUUCAGCUUUUGGUUAUUAAUCUACAUGGUAGGGGUCGAUGCCAAACCUCCCGUCAUUACAAGACGGCUUUAAAUAAAUAAAAAAAAUGGUUGUUGCACUGCUUCGUUUUGUUCUUUCCCUUUAUUAUAGGGUAAUGAGCUAAUUAAGGCCAUGUAUUUCCCAUUCUCAUCUCAGAGUGAGAAAAGAAAUACAAGGUAGUGCACGUAUCUUGGAAAAUCUUUUAACUGAAGUUUUUCGCUUGAUUCUUCUGUCACACACACUCACAAAAAUAUUUGUUUACACGUUACGCGUACACCACAAUUCUUUCUUUUUUGGUUACAAAGACGUGCGUUACUUGUAAAUGGGAGCUCCAGGAGAAAAAAAGUAAAACAUGGUAUGGCGUUGUUCUCUUGGAUAUUGUUUUCCUAUUUCAAGUGUGCCCAAAAUUAUUCUAAACAACAUCUUAGGACUUCAGCUUCCAAGUUUUUAGGUGUCUCUACUGUAUGUAUACUAAUUAUAACCUUUUUCUUCAUUUAGAGAAGAAAUUGCCACUUCAUAUGUAGUGAAAAUGCAGAACCUAGCUUCUCAUCUAUCGCAACUGUUUCCGCUGUCCACACUCCUGUCUCUACAAUUAGCAUCCACAGGGAAGAUGUAAAGCUAAUACUACUGCAGCAAUUGAUAAUGAAAUUGAUUUGGUUGAUGAGUUGGAACAUAUGUUUAUACUUUCUGAAGAAAAGGGGAACCCUUGCAAUUACUUGGUUAGUCUGUCUUGCUAGGCAUGCAGGUAUAUAGGACAGUGCUGUCAAAGGAAAGAUCAAGGUACUUAGUAUUUUGCCUCAUCUGAUGUUGUUUCAAAAAAUUUCAUUACCUCUCUUAUAUAGGCAGAAUAUUUUGCACUGGGCUAUAUUACUGUUGGAGAGAGUUGCUAUAUUGGAAAUGUCUGAUAAACCAGUUGCAUUUACGAGGAAGAAACUUAAUCCUAUUUCUAGUGGGGAUGUCAUUUUUGUAUUGCGUUUACUUCUUGUCCUUGCAAUUAAUCUUCAUGCUUUUAGUUAAGAAUCUACUAACCUUGUGCCAUUCACAACAGUGUUAUCAAAGACUCGCUUAAACUUCUAAGAGAUACACAGCUCAGAUUGGGAGCUCCGUGUCACUUAGGUGGUGCUUCGAUGAAGAAGCUAAGGUGCAAGAGAGUGCACCUUCAGGAAAAUCCGCCGACUAACAGUUACAAAGAAAAGGUUAACUUAUGAGGUGCAUAGUGUCUAUCUCGAGGAGGACGAGAGAGAUGAAUGACAGGCGAACACUAUAUUAAUUGUUAAGAGAACAUUUUGGGUAACUAUGUUUGUAAUAAAGAUAUACAAAACUAGUCAAUUGAUUUGAAUCGGUAACUUAUAAGCUUUUGUGUCCACAUUUAUUUUUUCUUGGGUUAUACGUCUUUUUUUAUUUUCCUUAAUUAUGUACCUUUCUAACUUUAUAAGGUAGUGGUAAGGUGCGCAUGCACACUAACCUUCCCAGACCCACUUAUGGAUUAUAAUGGGUUUUUUUUUGUUGUUGUUGUUUCAUUAUGCACCUUCUUUCAGUAAGGUUUCAAUGUAAAGGAAGGAGUAAACAUGAAGUUUCUGAGUCUAUAUCGAUGAUGGAAGCCUUCUGAGAUACUAUUUGAUCAUGAUAUGACUUGGUCAAGAUUGGACUUAAUGAAACACGUAGAGUUUGAUCCUUUGUUCAACUGUUUAUGACUUCAACUUGUGCAGAGUAAUAGGUUUUUCUCCUGUAGAGGUAACCACUGCUGCUGCUUCUGUGGCAAACGUGUCAUUGUACCCGAGGAAGACCUUGAGACUUUUUUGGAAACUGUUGCUGAAUUUUGAGGUAAUUCCCUGUUGUUCUUUAUGGAACUUUUCUUUAUAGAAUUGCUAAUAGAGUUUCAUGCUUCACGUUGUUAUUGCACCUAAGCUGUUAUAUGGAGAACCUAAUGCAAGAACAUCGUAUGCUGAAUAGUGAAAUUGAUCUUCUCUAUAGAACCAUAAACUAGCAAUAUUUUACAUUUGCAAUAUUAUAUGUUUAUUUAUGGGAAAAGGGCCAAGAUAUAUUGUUCACAUUUAUCCUCCGUUAUAAUAUCGGGUCAAAUCUACCCUCAUCGUUAGCAAAGUUUUCAAAUUUGCCCUCUAAUCUAACGAAAAGCCCCCAAAUCUCAAAUUCCUUCUAUUUACUACAAUUUUUUCUCACAAAUAACUUAUCUCCGCGUGUGCUCUAUCAGAUAAGAAAAUAUCCUCGACAAGCUGAUUUCUUAUUCCACUUGAUUAUUUAGAGCAGGAAGACUUGACAAACUUGCCACCUCCAGACAUGAGAACACUAGUAAAUAUUCCUUUGAAAGAAUGUUCGACAUAAAUUUAAACAAAUCAUUUAAUUUAGGAUUUCUCAAACAAUACUAAAGAAUUAUUUGUCACAAAUUUCAUGCAGAAGUGCUUGCGCAAGCAAAAUUUGCAUCAAAUAACAUGCUAAAUCCAAAUCCGAAAGGGAAUGCAUUUACAUGGAUACCUACGGCCUUGUUAUGCUUGUAGUCCAUAAAAAAUAGUAAAUAUUAGUAACUUCAUAAGCGAAUGCAUUUCGACCACCUGAAGAAUCAAAUAAAUCUCUUCCAAAUUAUCUACGGUAUUUCACUCAUCCUCAUUCCGUUAGAGACAUACCCAUAAACUGUGAAUUUUGCGUUUCAUUUAUGGUUUGAGCAUAACCAAAGACAAGGGGAAUAAUUAUGCUGUAACUCCACACUCCCAUUUCUAUAAUAUGAACCUUUUUUCUUCUCUGAUGGAUCACACGUAGGAGAAGACUGAUUUGUGAGAAGAAUUGCGGUAAAUAGAAGGGAUUUGGGGCUUUCCGUUUGGUUAGAAGGCAAAUUUGAAAACUUUGCUAACGGUGAGGGUAGAUUUGAUCCGAUAGUAUAACGGAGAUAAAUAUGAACAGUAGAGGGGUAUAUUUGGCCCUUUUCCCUUUAUUUAUUGACUUACAUUUGUGUGCACCAUAAGAAGUAUGACAAAAGGCUCUAAAGAAUCAAUCACUGGCUUUAAAUGGAAACGAUUGGAAGCAGUCUUCGUUGCAGACUUUGCAUUGAAGAAAUACCGGACAAAGUGACUUGGUGCAGACUAACGUAAGAGUUUCCAAAUCAAGAUAAAUAGCAAUCAGUUCAUUCACCAUCAACAAUCUGAAGUAAGUUACAGGAGUGAACUGCAUUAGAAGGUAUCUGCCAAGACAACAGUUGUUUUUUUAAUUCAAUUGUCAGCCUCUUUUUUCCA